UACGAAGGGGGCUAGCGUUGCUCGGAAUCACUGGGCGUAAAGCGCACGUAGGCGGUUCGUUAAGUCAGGGGUGAAAUCCUGGAGCUCAACUCCAGAACUGCCUUUGAUACUGGCGACCUUGAGUCCGGGAGAGGUGAGUGGAACUGCGAGUGUAGAGGUGAAAUUCGUAGAUAUCGUAAGGAAGACCAGUGGCGAAGGCGGGUCUCUGGUACGUGACUGACGCUGAGACACGAAAGCGUGGGGAGCGAACAGG
rnacentral:rRNA from 1 species